UACGAAGGGGGCUAGCGUUGCUCGGAAUCACUGGGCGUAAAGGGUGCGUAGGCGGGUCUUUAAGUCAGGGGUGAAAUCCUGGAGCUCAACUCCAGAACUGCCUUUGAUACUGGAGAGCUUGAGUCCGGGAGAGGUGAGUGGAACUCCGAGUGUAGAGGUGAAAUUCGUAGAUAUUCGGAAGAACACCAGUGGCGAAGGCGGCUCACUGGCCCGGUACUGACGCUGAUGUGCGAAAGCGUGGGGAGCAAACAGG
rnacentral:rRNA from 1 species